AGGCCCCUCCUUCCCAGCCCCAGCUCCCGCUCACCCCUGCCACGUCAAAGGAGGCAGAAGGGGAGACGGGAGCAGAGAGGGUACUG
rnacentral:pre_miRNA from 1 species